UACGUAGGGGGCAAGCGUUGUCCGGAAUCAUUGGGCGUAAAGAGCGUGUAGGCGGCCCGGUAAGUCCGCUGUGAAAGUCCAGGGCUCAACCCUGGGAUGCCGGUGGAUACUGUCGGGCUCGAGUCCGGAAGAGGAGUGUGGAAUUCCUGGUGUAGCGGUGAAAUGCGCAGAUAUCAGGAGGAACACCAAUGGCGAAGGCAGCACUCUGGGACGUGACUGACGCUGAGACACGAAAGCGUGGGGAGCAAACAGG
rnacentral:rRNA from 1 species